GCGUAGAGCGGAGGGUGUGCGGAGAAGGGGACGAGGGGACUCUCUCCUCUCCGGGAUGUAAGGAGGGAGGAAAGCGGGCCCGGAGCUUUUCGGUUUAUUCUUAUCGAAAUGUGUCCUCACACGGUGCCCGGAAUACAGCCGCCAUGCGUCCAGUUUGAGAGACCUGAAUGUGUCACCGUAGAGGAAGAAAUCCCCCCUGGCUUUUGUUUACCAUUAUGAGCGUCUGCGGCUCGAACCACAGUGAAAUACCUCUGCAUCGUUUCGGACCAACGCUUCACACCAAGGAUGGGUUUUCCAGUCAGUGCAGUCAUGAAAGCAGCUGAAGCUCCAACCGGAGCAAGAUCUCCCUUCAAACCGGCCCCAGCACCAACAGAUCACUUCCACGUCCGCCCAUACGUGUGGAGGUAAAGAACAAAGAGUCACGGUGGAGAUGACCCCUUUUGGGCCUUUGGGACACGGGUGCCCUCCUUCCUGCUCUUGCUGGGACAUUGGCCCUCUCUCCUCCACAGAAUCCCCCACUGUCCUGGCCUGUUUCUGCAGCAUGAUUAUCCAUCAGGACAUCUGCUAAAGAUGGUGGGCUAAUGUGACUUCCAUCACGCGCAAUAUGACUACGUCUACAUGCAGCCAAAUGCCAGCUUUGCUGUCACUAAGUUGUCUGAAAGAAGAGAUGAACCGGUCCAUUUUUUUCAGUUCUGAUUCUGAUUCAGUUACCUGAAUGUGGAUAUCUGCUAAUAGCAUUACCAGAGCUGUUGUGUGUAAGGUUGCAUGAGGCUGUGUUAAAACCACACAGCACUUCUUACUGAAAAAGAAAAAAAUACAUAGAAAUGCAGUCAAUUAAGAUUAAUUUAAAACAGUUUUAAUUGAACUGUAGGUUAAGGAGGCCUCUCAUUCCAACAGGUAUAGGAGUGCAAAUUGCUGUGGCAACUCCUUUAUUUAUUUUGACAAACUGGAACAAAUGCACAGAAUUGCAUUAUCCCCUAUUAGGAAGUAGAUUUCUAUUCAUUCAAAAGUUCAGAAGUAUUAAGAAAAAUUCAAAAACAGUGCAAUGGUAAAUUGACAACUUCUUCGUAAGGUUUUUAAAGUGAAUAUUUUAAAUAAAAGUGCAAGAGCUGUGUAGAGAAACAAAUAUCUACACUAUCAAAAAAAAGUCCAAUCAAACAAGUGAUCUAUAAGUAGGCUUUGGAAUCUGGAUUGGUAGCUGGAUCAGUGACGUCAGUCUGAUAUCUGAUGAGUGAAUUACACCAGGACCAGGACCAGACACCGAUAUUGAAUCAGUUUGCUUCCAACUCGAUCUGAAAGGCUGCAGUGUUUGAAAGUCUCCCAUCAUUUGGUCAUUUUCUGUCGGAUUUGGGUUAGAUUCUUAUCAAGCUGCAUAUAAACGUAGUCACUGAUGCUUCCUGAACAAAUCCCCACGCGCUCUGUAAUUAGAUCAGAGCGCUUUGAUAAUGAACAAACUGCCCCCGUUUCCUGGGAAGAAGGUAACGACACAAGAUACUGUAGCAAAGAUCAAGGCCUGUGAUUAAAUUAGUUUCAUAGGGUGGCUUUUUUUUUGUUUGUUUUUUUUUUUGCACUACCUCAUCACCAUGACAAGUCCAGCAGGAGCGAAAGGGAUCGCGAUCAGUGCAAGUAACUGAAUGGUUGUCAAGCGCCACAGCAGUUUAAUAUAGUACAUGAUUUCUGGAUGAAUCUGGCUUUAGUUUUAGAGCAUUUACUUUCAGUUCAACCAUUCUGAGGAAAACGCUCAAACUGUGGUCCCCUAUGCAUCUGUUCUAAAGGAAGGUAGUAAAGAUGGUGUUUUUACUCCAUGCUUUUCAUUUUUGCACUUUAGGUUUAUUGUGAUCUCCUUUGUCACGUCUGCAGGUUUAUUCACAAAUUGCAGGUAGAAGCAGAUUUGGCGGUAUUCCCCCUGUGACUUAAUCCUUCAGAUUCCUAAAAAUCUGCGUUCUUACAGUAUUUAAAGUUAGACUUUUAUUUUGAAAGUCUAGUCCACUCUUCCUCCUUUAGUAUUGCUUCAUUUGGUCUUUGUCUUUCUUCUCCUUUACAUACCUUUAUUUAGUCUUUCCCCCAGAUAUGUUCUCAUUUUGUCCUUUCAAUGUGCCAACAUGCAUUCUUUACAUGCUGCAGGUAGAGACUGAAUUAAGCAUCUGAAAUAGAUCAAAGAAAAUAAAUUAAUCUGGUUUUCCCAGCAAACUUAAUCAAACAUCAUGCUUUGUCUCUACCUGCCAUUUCUAUGUGUCCAGUAAGUUGGGAGAUACCAGUGCUGAAAUAGUGACUUUUAUUCCUUUAAUCGAAGCUUAGAGUGGAUUCAUCCGAACCUGAAGGAAACCCUGGUCUCAUUACUUUAUUUUGGCUCAUUUUUACAUGAUUUUUAUGAAAAAAAAUACACAUUUACCGGGAUUUGUGCAAUAUUUGAUCUUAACUGUCAUGUUGUUGACCAAACUGUAUAUUGUAUAAACAAGUGACUAGUUGUUUGAAAGCAACAAAAUCACCAAUGUCUUCCAUUAAGAUAUGUAUAGACUCAUGUGCAUUAGCUUAUUUAGCGGGACUGUGGUGCCAACAUUAUAGUAGCCAUGCAUGACCAGUAGUGAUGCUUGCUUCAUGAAGAAUAGUGAAAUCAAUUUCUAGGCUAAGCUGGAGCGCAAGAAACCAUUUCAGAGAAAUUAAGGGCGGCAGACUGACGUACUGCACCUUUAAAUACGCCACAUUUAGACACAGCCUUGCCCUAAAAUCAUAGACUAAUGCAAGAUCUCCUUUUUGCUCAAUGUCUUGGGUGUAGAAUAAGUUGCAUGAUUAAAAUACAAUGAAAGUGUGACACAAUCAGGGUAUGCAGUUACUAAGUAUUGAUUCCAGUGGCUUCAUACAGGCGUAUAUACUCAAUAUAAGUAAGAGCUUUCUAACAGAAAUGCUGUGUGUUCUUUGGAUUACUUGUCUGAAAAAAAAAAAGCUUAAGAGGUGACCUAAAUUGUAUUCAUGCACUCUCAAGCAUCAACAGUAUUUAUUAUGCAACAGCCAAAAAGCUCCCAUAAAACGAGUCUCAGAUGUGACAACGAUAGAACCCUUUAUAUUAAGAGUAGUACUGCAAUCUUAGAUUUGGAUAUAACUGCUCGGGAUCCGACGUAGUGUUUUAGUCCUAGAAUUCAGAUCUCACCAUGACAUUGUAUUGUACAUAAUACCUCAUAGUUUGGGGAUUCAGAGCGAUAUAUUUUAAUCCAUAAAAUUGUAUUUGAUUAGAGUUUUAGAAGCAAUAACCUACAAUAAUGCAUGAGUUUAGUGCCAGGGUGUAAGUGUUAAAAGGUAGCGUGGAAAGGAUUUUCCCUCCCUCUCUUUUAUGCCUACAGUAGCUCUAUCUAUUAGUCUCUUUUGUUUUGGGAGUCGUGUAAUAUUUGGCUUUAGAAUACAGUAUCACUUAUGAAGGUUUGGGAUACUUCCUGCAGAACAAGGUACAUGUGAGGACAGCUGUAGCAUUGUGUUAUAACACUGAUAUAAACUAAAUACGUAUAUUUUUCAGACUAACUUCCCUGCCUUGUAUUCUCUGAACACCAAAACAAUAAUCUAAACCAAUCGGUACAUGAGAAAUGCUUUAAAUAUCAGUUCUUGUAGCAUUUUUACAUCAGAAUCCACCCUUCCUGUAGAAAUAUAGACUUUCAGUAACUCUGUGGCUGCAAAGGACUUACUGAAGGAACUUGAGACGCACUUUCUCUCUAUGUACUGACUUGCACCGUCAUCGUCACCAUCCUGUCUUGAAUACUGUGUUCUAAAAACCCUGUAAUGCUCUCUGUGGGGAUUUAUAAUCACGAUUUAUAAGCAAGUAGGCGUCUAGCAACAUGAAUAUAUGGGUUUAAAAAAUAUGCAUGACUUAGCAGAAUAACGAAUGAUUUGUAUUGCAUGCAAUAAUCCAACUUUGUAAUGUGAAUGAGUGUAAUUAGGCUAAUGAAAUGUUCAUAUCAGAUGUUCUGUGGCAAGGUGACAACUUGGGGAAGGUUGUUUGACACAACAGCAAGCAUGCUGAAGUAGCUUUGAUCGUCAGCUGUGCUUUUUACCGACUAAACUGCACCAAAAAAAAAAAAAAAGAAGUAGCAGAGAG